GGGUUGUGAGGUUAAGCGACUAAGCGUACACGGUGGAUGCCCUGGCAGUCAGAGGCGAUGAAGGGCGUGCUAAUCUGCGAUAAGCGCCGGUAAGGUGAUAUGAACCGUUAUAACCGGCGAUACCCGAAUGGGGAAACCCAGUGUGACUCGUCACACUAUCAUUAACUGAAUCCAUAGGUUAAUGAGGCGAACCGGGGGAACUGAAACAUCUAAGUACCCCGAGGAAAAGAAAUCAACCGAGAUUCCCCCAGUAGCGGCGAGCGAACGGGGAGGAGCCCAGAGCCUGAAUCAGCAUGUGUGUUAGUGGAAGCGUCUGGAAAGGCGCGCGAUACAGGGUGACAGCCCCGUACACAAAAGCGCAUGUGCUGUGAGCUCGAUGAGUAGGGCGGGACACGUGGUAUCCUGUCUGAAUAUGGGGGGACCAUCCUCCAAGGCUAAAUACUCCUGACUGACCGAUAGUGAACCAGUACCGUGAGGGAAAGGCGAAAAGAACCCCGGCGAGGGGAGUGAAAAAGAACCUGAAACCGUGUACGUACAAGCAGUGGGAGCACCCUUUGGGUGUGACUGCGUACCUUUUGUAUAAUGGGUCAGCGACUUAUAUUCUGUAGCAAGGUUAACCGAAUAGGGGAGCCGGAGGGAAACCGAGUCUUAAUUGGGCGUUAAGUUGCAGGGUAUAGACCCGAAACCCGGUGAUCUAGCCAUGGGCAGGUUGAAGGUUGGGUAACACUAACUGGAGGACCGAACCGACUAAUGUUGAAAAAUUAGCGGAUGACCUGUGGCUGGGGGUGAAAGGCCAAUCAAACCGGGAGAUAGCUGGUUCUCCCCGAAAGCUAUUUAGGUAGCGCCUCGUGAAUUCAUCUCCGGGGGUAGAGCACUGUUUCGGCUAGGGGGCCAUCCCGGCUUACCAACCCGAUGCAAACUGCGAAUACCGGAGAAUGUUAUCACGGGAGACACACGGCGGGUGCUAACGUCCGUCGUGAAGAGGGAAACAACCCAGACCGCCAGCUAAGGUCCCAAAGUCAUGGUUAAGUGGGAAACGAUGUGGGAAGGCCCAGACAGCCAGGAUGUUGGCUUAGAAGCAGCCAUCAUUUAAAGAAAGCGUAAUAGCUCACUGGUCGAGUCGGCCUGCGCGGAAGAUGUAACGGGGCUAAACCAUGCACCGAAGCUGCGGCAGCGACACUGUGUGUUGUUGGGUAGGGGAGCGUUCUGUAAGCCUGCGAAGGUGGCCUGUGAGGGUUGCUGGAGGUAUCAGAAGUGCGAAUGCUGACAUAAGUAACGAUAAAGCGGGUGAAAAGCCCGCUCGCCGGAAGACCAAGGGUUCCUGUCCAACGUUAAUCGGGGCAGGGUGAGUCGACCCCUAAGGCGAGGCCGAAAGGCGUAGUCGAUGGGAAACGGGUUAAUAUUCCCGUACUUGGUGUUACUGCGAAGGGGGGACGGAGAAGGCUAUGUUGGCCGGGCGACGGUUGUCCCGGUUUAAGCGUGUAGGUGUGUGUUCCAGGUAAAUCCGGUUCACUUUAACACUGAGGCGUGACGACGAGGCACUACGGUGCUGAAGCAACAAAUGCCCUGCUUCCAGGAAAAGCCUCUAAGCAUCAGGUAACAUCAAAUCGUACCCCAAACCGACACAGGUGGUCAGGUAGAGAAUACCAAGGCGCUUGAGAGAACUCGGGUGAAGGAACUAGGCAAUAGGCAAAAUGGUGCCGUAACUUCGGGAGAAGGCACGCUGACACGUAGGUGAAGUGAUUUACUCAUGGAGCUGAAGUCAGUCGAAGAUACCAGCUGGCUGCAACUGUUUAUUAAAAACACAGCACUGUGCAAACACGAAAGUGGACGUAUACGGUGUGACGCCUGCCCGGUGCCGGAAGGUUAAUUGAUGGGGUCAGCGCAAGCGAAGCUCCUGAUCGAAGCCCCGGUAAACGGCGGCCGUAACUAUAACGGUCCUAAGGUAGCGAAAUUCCUUGUCGGGUAAGUUCCGACCUGCACGAAUGGCGUAAUGAUGGCCAGGCUGUCUCCACCCGAGACUCAGUGAAAUUGAACUCGCUGUGAAGAUGCAGUGUACCCGCGGCAAGACGGAAAGACCCCGUGAACCUUUACUAUAGCUUGACACUGAACAUUGAGCCUUGAUGUGUAGGAUAGGUGGGAGGCUUUGAAGUGUGGACGCCAGUCUGCAUGGAGCCGACCUUGAAAUACCACCCUUUAAUGUUUGAUGUUCUAACGUGGACCCGUUACCCGGGUUGCGGACAGUGUCUGGUGGGUAGUUUGACUGGGGCGGUCUCCUCCUAAAGAGUAACGGAGGAGCACGAAGGUUGGCUAAUCCUGGUCGGACAUCAGGAGGUUAGUGCAAUGGCAUAAGCCAGCUUGACUGCGAGCGUGACGGCGCGAGCAGGUGCGAAAGCAGGUCAUAGUGAUCCGGUGGUUCUGAAUGGAAGGGCCAUCGCUCAACGGAUAAAAGGUACUCCGGGGAUAACAGGCUGAUACCGCCCAAGAGUUCAUAUCGACGGCGGUGUUUGGCACCUCGAUGUCGGCUCAUCACAUCCUGGGGCUGAAGUAGGUCCCAAGGGUAUGGCUGUUCGCCAUUUAAAGUGGUACGCGAGCUGGGUUUAGAACGUCGUGAGACAGUUCGGUCCCUAUCUGCCGUGGGCGCUGGAGAACUGAGGGGGGCUGCUCCUAGUACGAGAGGACCGGAGUGGACGCAUCACUGGUGUUCGGGUUGUCAUGCCAAUGGCACUGCCCGGUAGCUAAAUGCGGAAGAGAUAAGUGCUGAAAGCAUCUAAGCACGAAACUUGCCCCGAGAUGAGUUCUCCCUGAGACUUAGAGUCUCCUGAAGGAACGUUGAAGACGACGACGUUGAUAGGCCGGGUGUGUAAGCGCAGCGAUGCGUUGAGCUAACCGGUACUAAUGAACCGUGAGGCUUAACCUUACAACGCCGAAG
rnacentral:rRNA from 1 species